UAACCUGGUUGAUCCUGCCAGUAGUGUAUGCUUCUCCUAAAGACUAAGCCAUGCAUGCCUCCGAAUAGAAGAGCAAAUCUCUCUGAAUCUGCGAACGGCUCCGCAAACCAGUUGUAAACCAUAGCAAGCAUGCCUUGGGACCCGGUCGCAAGGCCGGGACCCUUGGCUACAGGGAUAACCCUGGUAAUUCUGAGGCUAAUACAUGAACGUACCCCCUGGCUGACGGGCAACCGGAGGCUGGGGACCGUGCGAGUAGGCGCAGGGAUAUUGGGAAUAGUCGCACAGUAAGACCAUCAUACCAAACGGUCCUCGCUUCGCUGGCCUCACGGCUGGCUGGCGGGUGUCCGGGUGGCUCUUGCACGGUGCUUCUGACCUAUCAACUAGAUGGCAGCGUAAGGGACAUGCUAUGGUGACAACGGGUACAGAGGAUAAGGGUUCGAUCCUGGAGAGUGGGCCUGAGAGAUUGCUCACACUUCUAAGGAAGGCAGCAGGCGCGCAACGUUCCCCUUGGGCAAUGCUCGAGGGCGUUAGGGGACAUAUGAAUGUCUGCCUUUUGGUGGACAAUUCAAAUGGGUCUGUUCUAAACAGCCUCUCGAGUAACAAUUAGAGGACAAGUCUGGUUAACUACAGCCAGAUGUCGGCUAAGAAGCGCAAUUUUGCGUUCCUUGGUUGGGCAGAAAGUCGGAGAUGAGCUACCGACUGUACAGUUGUAAAUUGCGGGGAACACCAGGCAUGACUGGACUACCAAAAGCCACGGGAAACCUUGGUCCUGCUUCGGCAGGGGUAACAACGUCCACUCAGGAGUCUUCGUCCAAGGCUGUAUUCCACACUGGUCAAUCCGCAGCCAAGCCGCUAAACCCUCCCCGUCAAAAGGGGGGGCAUGCGGAAGGUUCAGAGACUAUAAUCAACUGGGCGCAAGCUUAAGGAAUAGUCCACUCCCACUGGUAACAGUGCUAGCAAAAGUAUGGGGAGUAGCUCCCCCAGAGGCAUGCUAGGUCCUUCGAAGUGUGGGGUUAAAUGCCCACGCGAUGUCAGGACGGUUCUAUAGGGCCAGCACCCGCGGUAAUUCCAGCUCUAAUAGCAUACGUUAAAGUUGUUGCGGUUAAAACGCUCGUAGUCGGCGCCAGAUCUUCAGAGUUCUGCGUUGGGAACUGGGUCCGCUGCUCCGGUCAAGGGCACGCCAGGUACUGACAAGGGAGGACGUCGAUCAAAUGUACCCGUGGCUGCUUCCCUUCGGGGGAUCGCAGGGUCUGGGGGAGGGUUCGCCUUCCCUCGGGUCCGGUCCGGGUACCGUUUACCAUGACUAAACCGGAGUGAUCAAAGCAUGUCUUUCGACACGUACGGCGCAGCAUGGCAUAAGCUCACUGGCCUUGCCCUAUUGCGGGGGCUUGGUUGGUAAAGGCGAAAGGGAUGUUCGAGGGUGACCGAAUUGCCGGGCGAGUGGUGAAAUACGUUGACCCUGGCAAGUCGACCAAAGGCGAAAGCAGUCAUCAAGGGCAUACCCGUUGAUCAAGAGCGAAAGUUAAGGGUUCGAAGACGAUCAGAUACCGUCGUAGUCUUAACUAUAAAUGAUGCAAACCAGGGAUAGGACACUGUCCAUCUCGACUCCUCCUGGACCUCAUAGAAAUAAAAGUNCUUUGGGUUCUGGGGGGAGUAUGGUCGCAAGGCUGAAACUUGGGCGUCCUUGGGUUUCAAAAGUCGGCUAAAAGUGUCCGGCUAGUCCGGUCCCUCGAAAAGCGUUCUACGCUUAGUAGGGGGGCUACCCGGUGAAUCGACACUGGUUAAACAGGGCAACACUGUCAAAUUGUUCGGGAACUCCCUAAAGCUUGUACUACCNCCCACGCGGUUAACAGCCGAAAAAAUCAAGAGCGACGACCCCCUAACAGGGCGAGCUGCUUGCGUGCGGAACCAGGGUAAUGACCUCGGGCAUGGUAAAAACGUANNUGAUGAGGGCGUGGGCUUAGCCUCCCGCGCCCGUUGAAAUGGGUAACCCGCAGCCAAGUUCGUUAACCGCCCUUCGGGGUGGACGAAUGCAGUUCACAGGCCAAAUGUCAGUGGGCUCCUCUCCAGACUGCGAAAGCGGGACGGUAAGGGGCAUAAGAUAUGGUCGGCCCCCUAGGGAAACUUAGGGGAUUAAGCGUAAAGGAAUUGACGGAAGGGCACACAAAGAGGGGAACCUGCGGCUUAACUUAUAGGCCGAGUUUGCAAGGAGAACGCAAGACCCUGUCUUCGCUAGUAUCUUUGUGGGCUAGUCGACUAUCCAUAUCAGGGGUGAGUGGAUGGCGGCAAGACAACCUGGUACGAGGGAACUCCAGAGAGAAAUCCUCUGGACAAUCUCGUGGCGAGCUACCUUCGGGCGACCGUUGGAUAGCCGUCGUAACGCGCGGUAAGGUGUCGGGUGUCUCUUGAUUUGUUUGGUCGGAGAUAUCUUAAGGAACGUGCUACUCCCACCGGUAACGGUGCCUGCAAGUAAGCUCUCACCCAGCCCAGAUGCAGGAGCCUACGAUCUCUAGAGGAAAUGCUAGAGGGAGGCUGGUAUUUAGUAAUUUGACUCAACACGGGAAAACUCACCAGGUCCGGAUACACGUAUGAAAGUCAAGCUGAAAGACUUUACUCAAUGAUGUAAGUGGUGGUGCAUGGUCGUUCUUAGUUCGUGGAUUGAUUUGUCUGGUCUAUUCCGAUAACGAGCGAGACCCCAUCGUUCCUAAUAGGGGCGGCUAGCCCGCCGGUCGCAAGGCCGGCAGCUUCCGCUUAAGAUUAACUUCUUAGACGUAUCAGAGCCGAUAAGGUUCUUGAAAUGGGUUAAUAACAGGUCAGUCAUGCCCUUAGAUGUUCUGGGCCGCACGCGCGUUACAAUGGCACGUAAAGCAAGUGCUUGAAAAGGCGUCUCCGGGGCCGAAAGGCCCUGGUAACCCUUAGUCCCUGCCUUGACUGGGACAGAUCUUUGCAAUUAUUGGUCUCCAACGAGGAAUUUUUAGUAGUCGCAGGUCAUUAACCUGCGACGAAUGCGUCCCUGCCCUUUGUACACACCGCCCGUCGCUGCUACCGAUUGGGUUUUACAGUUACGUGUUUGGAGGCGCUUCCCCCCGCUUGCUUCACGGUAGGUGGGAGCCGGUACCAAAAUCAAAC
rnacentral:rRNA from 1 species